GAGUUCGUAUAUGACUCCAGUCCUGGCGCUGGAUGCUGCUGCUGUUCCAGCUUCCUAGGUGUGGAAACUGAAGGACCAAGAGAUUAAACAGUGGUGCAAAAGUGGUAAGAAUUCAGCAUUCUCCUCGACAAGUGGACGAGCAUCUACUGUGCUUUCACAGCGGCUAUCACUAUUGCCAGCAGCAAGACUGUCAGCUCGGCGCCCUCGUCUGGUUGGAUGGGAAACUGCAGUUGCUAAGGGAGCUGGGAAUCUCUGAGGACAAAUGGGAAUUCUCACUGAUUUCUAGGACUACCCUGGGGCAGAGAUGGAGUUUCAUCACAUUGCCUAGGCUGGUCUCGAAAUCCUGGACUCAAGUGAUCUGCUGGCCUCAGCCUCCCUAACUGCUGGGACUAGAGGCCUGAGCGACCACCCCUGGCUGUAAACAUUUUCUUAGCUCAAGGAUUGCUGAAUUUGUGCAGCCAAUGCAAUAUGAUGGCAAUGAUAGAUGUCACUUCUAGACAAAACUUAACAGUUAUAUCAAUAUUGUAAUUAAUAUUAUUUUUUAUUAUUAUAAUUAAUGUUAAUAAUAUAUUAAUAUUCUCUA
rnacentral:lncRNA from 1 species